GAGUUUGAUCGUGGCUCAGAUUGAACGCUGGCGGAAUGCUUUACACAUGCAAGUCGAGCGGCAGCGCGGGGCAACCUGGCGGCGAGCGGCGAACGGGUGAGUAAUGCAUCGGAACAUGUCCAUGUCGUGGGGGAUAGCCCGGCGAAAGCCGGAUUAAUACCGCAUACGCCCGAGAGGGGAAAGUGGGGGACCGCAAGGCCUCACGCGAUUGGGUUGGCCGAUGUCCGAUUAGCUAGUUGGCGGGGUAAGAGCCCACCAAGGCGAUGAUCGGUAGCUGGUCUGAGAGGAUGAUCAGCCACACUGGGACUGAGACACGGCCCAGACUCCUACGGGAGGCAGCAGUGGGGAAUUUUGGACAAUGGGGGCAACCCUGAUCCAGCCAUUCCGCGUGAGUGAAGAAGGCCUCGGUUGUAAG
rnacentral:rRNA from 1 species